rnacentral:rRNA from 1 species
UAACGCGUAAGAACUUGCCUCACAGUUAGGGACAACAUCUGGAAACGAAUGCUAAUACCUAAUAUUAUGAUAAUAGGGCAUCCUAUAAUUAUGAAAGCUAUAAGCGCUGUGAGAGAGCUUUGCGUCCCAUUAGCUAGUUGGAGAGGUAACGGCUCACCAAGGCGAUGAUGGGUAGCCGGCCUGAGAGGGUGAUCGGCCACAAGGGGACUGAGACACGGCCCUU